UGGAAGUAAAAAGUCGUAACAAGGUAUCUNNNGGUGAACCAGCGGAGGGAUCAUUACCGACUUUACAACUCCCAAACCCCUGUGAACAUACCUUAAUGUUGCCUCGGCGGAUCAGCCCGCNCCCCGUAAAACGGGACGGCCCGCCAGAGGACCCAAACUCUAAUGUUUCUUAUUGUAACUUCUGAGUAAAACAAACAAACAACUCAAAAGGGUCAACAAGGGAUGUAAUGGUUCUGGCACAGACGAAGACGCCAGCAAAACAGGAGAAGCAAUGUGAAUUCAAAGAUCAGUGAAUCAUCGAAUUUUUGCAAUCCCCAUUCGUUAUCGCGUUUUCCGGCGGUCAUCCUUGAUCCCAGGUCCAAUCAACCCUCAAGCGAAAGGGUUGGGUUAUGGGGAUCGUUUAUUCAGAAGUUCCAAUAAGAAACCGAAGAGCAUGGGUGGUCUGGCGGCACCUUCCAUUGUGUAGGAGGUAACACCUUGCAACGAAACAACGCUAGGGCAUGCCGUAAAGGNCCAGGAUUUGAAACUCCCUAGGAUCAGU
rnacentral:rRNA from 1 species